UACAGAGGGUGCGAGCGUUGUUCGGAAUUACUGGGCGUAAAGGGCUCGUAGGCGGCCAACUAAGUCAGACGUGAAAUCCCUCGGCUUAACCGGGGAACUGCGUCUGAUACUGGAUGGCUUGAGAUUGGGAGAGGGAUGCGGAAUUCCAGGUGUAGCGGUGAAAUGCGUAGAUAUCUGGAGGAACACCGGUGGCGAAGGCGGCAUCCUGGACCAACACUGACGCUGAGGCACGAAAGCGUGGGGAGCAAACAGG
rnacentral:rRNA from 1 species